GCGCAGCAGUCGCGAAAACUCCGCAAUACACGAAAGUGUGACGGGGCUAUCCCGAGUGCCGUCCACUGAGGAUGGCUUUUCCCCAGUGUAGACAGCUGGGGGAAUAAGGAGAGGGCAAGUCUGGUGUCAGCCGCCGCGGUAAUACCAGCUCUUCGAGUGGUAGGGAUGUUUAUUGGGCCUGAAGCAUCCGUAGCCGGCCGAGCAAGUUCUCUGUUAAAUCCAGCGAUUUAAUCGUUGGAUUGCGGGGAAUACUGUUCGGCUUGGGGGCGGGAGAGGCCGUCGGUAUUCUUGGGGUAGGGGUAAAAUCCUAUAAUCCCGGGAGGACCACCAGUGGCGAAGGCGGCCGACUAAAACGCGCCCGACGGUGAGGGACGAAAGCUGGGGGAGCGAACGGGAUUAGAUACCCGUGUAGUCC
rnacentral:rRNA from 1 species